rnacentral:rRNA from 1 species
CUACGGGCGGCAGCAGUGGGGAAUAUUGCACAAUGGGCGCAAGCCUGAUGCAGCCAUGCCGCGUGUAUGAAGAAGGCCUUCGGGUUGUAAAGUGCUUUCAGCGGGGAGGAAGGGAGUAAAGUUAAUACCUUUGCUCAUUGACGUUACCCGCAGAAGAAGCACCGGCUAACUCCGUGCCAGCAGCCGCGGUAAUACGGAGGGUGCGAGCGUUAAUCGGAAUUACUGGGCGUAAAGCGCACGCAGGCGGUUUGUUAAGUCAGAUGUGAAAUCCCCGGGCUCAACCUGGGAACUGCAUCUGUACUGGAAAGCUUGAGUCUCGUAGAGGGGGGUAGAAUUCCAGGUGUAGCGGUGAAAUGCGUAGAGAUCUGGAGGAAUACCGGUGGCGAAGGCGGCCCCCUGGACGAAGACUGACGCUCAGGUGCGAAAGCGUGGGGAGCAAACAGGAUUAGAUACCCGAGUAGUC